GUCAUUUGUUUUGGAACAGACUAAAAGGAAAAGUACCUCAUUUAAUAUGAAACGGAGGGAGUACUUGAUAGCUUAUUUCUUCUGUUGGUUAAAAUAGACUUGUAGGAAACAAUAAAUUCAAUGGCUUUAAUGGAGUAAUCUCUAUCCUUAAGUAACAUAAGCCCCCACUAUGUUGUUGCAUGAGUUUGUGGCAGAAUUCCUCUAGGAUUUACAUAGACAAAAUCGGAAUCCAAGUUCAGCAAUAACUUGAAUUUCCCCAGGAACAAGUUUUGAGUUUUACUGUUAUAGAAUCUUUUGGGAAGAAAUCAGGUAUUUAUAACACUUUUAGGAAUCUGCUAAAAGAUGUCUCUUAAAUCAGACAACUUUUUGACACACACUUCCAACUGUCACCUUUUAAAAUAAAGUUACCUUCUCUUCUAAUUCCAAUCGAUAACAUUAUCAACUUUGAUUUUCAGAUGUUCAGGUACAAAAUUAAACUCAGUGAUGCACGUAAAGCAUGGAUGAAGAAUCCUGAGGUGUUGCCCAACUGCUCAACGGGCUUCCAUUUGCCCCCUGAGCAUGAUGAUCUUUCCCAGGAAUACGUUUCACCACUCAAGUUGCUGCACUUUUAUCGUACUAAUGUUCCUAUCUGAGCCAAUAUUCUAAGAGUCACAUUGACAAGAGCAUUCACAACUAUGAUAUGUGUUUAAUGAGACUUUACAACUGUGAUAUGUGUAGAUUGAGACUUUACAACUGUGAUAUGUGUAGAAUUUAGUCCAAUUGUUGCUAAUCUUUUUCUGUAAAUGUAACAUGCCUGUUGAGACUACUGGUUGCUAAAGUAGUGUGUAUACAUUGUAGAGAUGAAUGUCUUACACGAGAAUAUCAAUGCAGCAGAUUAUUUUCCCAUAGAA